UUCGACACUCCCUUGCCUACGUCCACUCUCCUCAAUCUCCUAACCGAGUGAGGGUUCCACUAACUUGAAGCUUCAAUCAAGCUUUCAAUCGUCUUACACUUGGAUUCCGGCUCCAAUGGGCUCUUACACAAUCUCUUCAAGAUUUGAACCACUUGAAGGCUUUCACACUCAAUUUACACAAGGAUGAAACUCUCAACCUAGCUUAAGGAAGGCUCAAGUACAAGAGAAAGCUAGGAUGAAUUAUAAGAGUGCACUAAGAAUAUGCAAGUGAUGGUUU
rnacentral:lncRNA from 1 species